rnacentral:rRNA from 1 species
UCGAACGGCAGCACGGGAGCAAUCCUGGUGGCGAGUGGCGAACGGGUGAGUAAUAUAUCGGAACGUGCCCAGUCGUGGGGGAUAACGCAGCGAAAGCUGUGCUAAUACCGCAUACGAUCUAAGGAUGAAAGCGGGGGACUCGCAAGGGCCUCGCGCGAUUGGAGCGGCCGAUAUCAGAUUAGCUAGUUGGUGGGGUAAAAGCCCACCAAGGCGACGAUCUGUAGCUGGUCUGAGAGGACGACCAGCCACACUGGAACUGAGACACGGUCCAGACUCCUACGGGAGGCAGCAGUGGGGAAUUUUGGACAAUGGGCGCAAGCCUGAUCCAGCAAUGCCGCGUGCAGGAUGAAGGCCUUCGGGUUGUAAACUGCUUUUGUACGGAACGAAACGGUCUGCCCUAAUACGGUGGGCUAAUGACGGUACCGUAAGAAUAAGCACCGGCUAACUACGUGCCAGCAGCCGCGGUAAUACGUAGGGUGCGAGCGUUAAUCGGAAUUACUGGGCGUGAAGCGUGCGCAGGCGGUUAUAUAAGACAGAUGUGAAAUCCCCGGGCUCAGCCUGGGACCUGCAUUUGUGACUGUAUAGCUAGAGUACGGUAGAGGGGGAUGGAAUUCCGCGUGUAGCAGUGAAAUGCGUAGAUAUGCGGAGGAACACCGAUGGCGAAGGCAAUCCCCUGGACCUGUACUGACGCUCAUGCACGAAAGCGUGGGGAGCAAACAGGAUUAGAUACCCUGGUA